UGGGGAAUCUUGGACAAUGGGGGCAACCCUGAUCCAGCCAUGCCGCGUGAGUGAUGAAGGCCUUAGGGUCGUAAAGCUCUUUCGCCUGUGAAGAUAAUGACGGUAGCCGUAGAAGAAGCCCCGGCUAACUUCGUGCCAGCAGCCGCGGUAAUACGAAGGGGGCAAGCGUUGUUCGGAAUUACUGGGCGUAAAGGGGCGUGUAGGCGGUCUAAUCAGUCAGAGGUGAAAGCCCUGGGCUCAACCCAGGAAUUGCCUUUGAUACUGUUAGACUAGAGUUCGGGAGAGGAUAGUGGAAUUCCCAGUGUAGAGGUGAAAUUCGUAGAUAUUGGGAAGAACACCAGUGGCGAAGGCGGCUAUCUGGACCGAUACUGACGCUGAGGCGCGAAAGCGUGGGGAGCAAACAGGAUUAGAUACCCUGGUAGUCCACACCGUAAACGAUGAAUGCCAGUCGUCGGGUAGCAUGCUAUUCGGUGACACACCUAACGGAUUAAGCAUUCCGCCUGGGGAGUACGGUC
rnacentral:rRNA from 1 species